AUUGAACGCUGGCGGCAUGCCUUACACAUGCAAGUCGAACGGCAGCACGGGGGCAACCCUGGUGGCGAGUGGCGAACGGGUGAGUAAUGCAUCGGAACGUGCCCAGUAGUGGGGGAUAACCCGGCGAAAGCCGGGCUAAUACCGCAUACGACCUACGGGUGAAAGCGGGGGACCGUAAGGCCUCGCGCUAUUGGAGCGGCCGAUGUCUGAUUAGCUAGUUGGCGGGGUAAAGGCCCACCAAGGCGACGAUCAGUAGCGGGUCUGAGAGGACGACCAGCCACACUGGGACUGAGACACGGCCCAGACUCCUACGGGAGGCAGCAGUGGGGAAUUUCGGACAAUGGGCGCAAGCCUGAUCCAGCCAUGCCGCGUGCGGGAAGAAGGCCUUCGGGUUGUAAACCGCUUUUGGCAGGAACGAAACGGCGCAAGCUAAUACCUUGCGCUAAUGACGGUACCUGCAGAAUAAGCACCGGCUAACUACGUGCCAGCAGCCGCCGUAAAAC
rnacentral:rRNA from 1 species